UAGUAACACACGUGUCCUGCCCCGCCACGGAAGUGGAAAUGGCAGGUGGAAAAUGCCCAACUGCGGAGUCCAGCACGUAGAGCAGAGGUGUCCGCAGGAAACGAGCACAGCUCGGCGGAGCCUCUGGCCCUGGAGCCAGCAACCCCCACCCCAGGUGGACCAAGCCAGCUAUUCUGAUUACCGCCAAGGCCUGCCGCGGGAGCUCACAACCCUGCAAACAGAGGUCCUACCUGAGCUCUGCCCCCAGCUACAAGGCUGUGGGGGAAGGCGAGAGGAGGCGUGGCCUUCCAGCUCGCUGAACGAACUCCCUCGUGCGGUUGUUUUGACUUUUUCUCUGGGGAUCCGCGCCCCGAACAAGUUCAAGUUGCACUUCCGGGGUCCGCAAAAGACUGAAACGUCAUCGCGCACGCGACAGCGCCAAUCCGGAAAUAGGCGGGGCGUGGUCGUUGGCAAAGUUCCUGCAGUGCUUGGUGGGCUGGGACAGAGGCCUGCAGGAGGUUCAGACUAUACCAAAAGUACAUUCAGAGGCUGCUCCUUUGGAAAGAUGGAUAUUAAGGGUGGAAGGAAGGAAAGGAGAAAGCCCAGAGCAGAGGCUUCUGUGGAAACGCCAAAGCAGAUACCAAGGACGAAAGAGGAAAGUGUUGGUUCCCAAAUAGACUUAUAACUACGAAAUACGAAUGUUUUCUAAUGGGAGGCAUUUAAAAUGCCUUAGUUGAAGAUUGAUUCAAAUAAAAGACCUCUUUUGGAUUCAUUUCAACAUCUAUCAGGUGAACGUGCCAGUUGCUUCAGGGGGAAAAAAAAAGAGAGCUAUCGUGAAAAGAACAUUUAAUGAUAUAACAAGAAAUAAAGAAUAACUAAAGAAGAAAAUGACCUGGACCGCCAACUAAUGGCACCUACGUAAAAUUGCAGGAAUUGACUUAAGGAAAAAUGAAUGAAAUGCCUAUCUGAAGUAUACUUUUAACUUUCGGUUCAUAUUGCUGGCAAUCAAUACCUUGGAAGGAGACUUGGAGCGGCCGCACAAAAGUAGUCCUGCUUCAGCUGAGCCAACCUGUGGAACAGGUUUGAAGCCAGAGGAAGUUUUAAGUUUGUAAAAGAUCUGCCCAGGUGUCAAUACAUAUGUGAAAUGUGCUCAGAAUUGUAUGUGAAUAAAGAGGUUGCAUACAUUUUAAGGCAGUCUUGCACUGAGGAAUACAUUGAGAUAUUUGCCCUUCUUAAAGUCACGCAUAUGUCACAGCAACAUUCCUGGUACAAAAUAAUUCAUUACUGUUUCUGUGCUCUAACUAGCCCCAUGCAAAGGUACAUCAUUGAAUCAAAACAUAUGGGGGUGACAAUUCUAUUACGCUGAGCUUUGCUGCAAUAUCAAUUUGCUGCUGUCUUACCUUUUCCUGCACAUUUGCCAAUGGAAAUUUCUGCUCUAGAAAUUAUACUGUAGCACAGAAAGAAGUAAAUACUGAGGUGGAUUCCAUUUCUCAAGACAUAUCAAUACGAACCAGUGCUAUUGUUUGUUUCUUGGGACAAUACAACAUUUGCACCUGUGCCUUAAGGAAGCAAUAACUCUUAAUUGCCCUUUAUAUUUACAAUUACUUAAUUACUUUAUUUUGCCAAAAAUAAAGGUCAUUAAAAUCAUCU